AGAAGAUGAACUACCAUCAAACGAAGCAUCAAAAGGAAUUCAAGCUUACUUGGUCAUAGUCUGGACAUCACAUUUUUAUAGGAACAAAGGAAGAUGUGGUAUGCCCUUCACAUAUGCUCAUAUUAAAAAUUUACUAGAUGGUUACAACUAAA
rnacentral:lncRNA from 1 species